rnacentral:lncRNA from 1 species
GUGUAAAGUGAGACUCGAGAGUUGGAGAGGUGUUUAAUCGGUCCAGAGGCCAAACAAUCGGUGAAGAUGGUGGAAAAUGGAGAGGAAUGUUGGAUCUGUGAAGAGAAAUAGAUUUUACCGGUGAAAAGAGACAACGAUGGCAGUCUGAGUCGAGAAAGAAAUGCUCUCGAAGACACUGAGAGUGAAACCCUAGCAGGGAAUGUUUCGUGGUAUGUGGAAAAUGAGAGUGGAAUGUAUGAGUCUGCGAAAUGAAAAUGUGCUGAGGAGAGUGUGAAGCGCUGACGCAGGCAGAGGCUAUGUGGCAGCGAAGGAUUGGAUCUCCGUGGAGGAGAGAGAAGCACGGUGAAGUAAUUGGAAAAAUGAAAAAUAGGAAGUGUGCUUUGGAAGGAGGCUAGAGGUCUUUGGACUCUCUAGCGAAUGACUUUCAAGAUAGAAUUAGUUCUGGAUUUCAGAAAUCUAAUUCUCAUUCAUCUCAAAAGUGAAUAGUACAAGUGAGGAGCUGGGUAUUUAUAGUAACCCAUGCUCCUUACAAGCUACACUACAAAUACAAUAAAAUGUAAAAAGAGAACUACAUGAGACAAGAUUCCAUCAUACCCUCCCUCUUAAAAAAAGAUUUGCCCUCAAAUCUGGCAAUCGCCUUAUGAAGAAGCUCCACACAUUCUUUGGAGCAUGGCCAUCUUGAAAUGGCCUUAUUCUUUUAGAUCCACUUUUCUUCCUCCUGGAUCAAAGACGAAUCUGCAAUAUGCAUCAAAUAUAUCUUCAAUUAAUACCAAUCCAAAGAAGAAAUUUUCUACAAAAAAAGAAGAGAAUAAGGACUCCUAGUAUUUUGAUUUGUAAUCUUUGAAAAUGUUAGAAGUCCAAAUUCAAUAUUGUCUUGAGUUACUUGUUUUCUUGAAGAUAACAAUAACUCAAGAUUUGAAUUGCCAUAGUUUGAAAAUGUUUGCAUAGAAUAUGGAAUGACAAUUGGUUGGAAAGAGAAAUCAAAACUCAAAGAGUGAAUAAUGAUGGGAAAAGAUUGAAAAUCUUCCCUUUUAAGAUUGAGUUCUAUGGUUGGAGUCAAAAUUGCUCUUAGAAGCACUUCCUCCUUUUCUUUCUUUUCCCUUUCUUGUCUUUCUUCUUCUUGUUCUCUUCUCUCUUUCUCUUCUCUCUUUCUCUUCUCUUCUUCUCUCCUCUCUUCUCUUCUUAUUCCCUCUCUUCUUUCUUCUUCUUCUUCUCUUCUUAAUUCCGCUCUUCUCUCUUCUUCUUCUCUUCUUAAUUCCUCUCUUCUCUCUUCUUCUUUCUCUCUUUGCUCUUCUCUCUUUCUCUUUUCUUCUUUCCUUUCUUCCUUUUCUCUUCUCUCAAUCUCUCUUUCUCUUUUCUUAUCCAUGAUCUCCUUAAGUCUUGCCUCAAAUUCUAACUCUCUCCUAAGAAACCCAUGAUCAUUUAAACUCUCAAGAAAGAUUUUUCUAUUUUCAAUGCAAUCUUUAAUUAAUUCUAGGUUUCUUUUAAUGCUUGAAGGUACAAACUUUCUUCUCAUGCAAGCUUUUAAAUUACACCAAUCAUGAAUGGGAGACUUCCUACCUUUUCUAACAUGAUAUUGCCUUUCAUCCCACCACUCACUUGCAUGUCCUUCUAACUUAGAGAGAUAAAUGCUAAGAACAUAAGAUUGACUCUCUCUAUAAAACCAAGGAUCUAUUUUAUCAACCUCUUUUUCCAAAGCUAGGUAUGUUAAUGCACCUAUGUCUUUAUCAAAGAAUGGAAGAUUCCUAGCUUGCUUAAACAUUUCAUCAACAUUAUCUAAACUAGACAACCUAUAUGAACUAGAAGAAGACCUAUAUGAACUAUAACAAGACAUCUGCAAAGACAAUUUGCGAACUCUAAGACCCCUAAAACGUACGGACUCUAAUGUGACAAAGUCACACCUACACGUGAAUCACAAAAUCAAAGACAAUAAAAGAAAACAAUUAAAGUUGCCAAGAGUUGGAAAGAGCACUAAGAACUUUUCCAAUCUACGUGGACUUUAUAAAAGGCCAUUUACAAACCAAACCUAAAGCUAAGAGUGACAGUGGGCUGACACAAGCCCAUCAAAUACAAAGAAAAUAAUAAAAAAAAAACAAAUGAAUUUAAUCCUAUGCUAUGGCCCAACUUCUUGCUGUCCAUUAUGCUGCUACGGUCCAGGUCCUUGCCAAUUUUUCCAUGAAGAUUCACGUGCACGUUGCUGUUGUUUCUAGUAGUUUGAACUUUUCUAACUUCUGGAUUCACUCUACAAUCACAAAGGCACAAAGCUGGAUCAGUAAACUGUUAACUAGUCAUCUUAGAAGAGGAAAUUUACACAGUAAUGAGUCCUCCUUUCUCGGUUCAGUGCGAUGAGUCUAGCAGAAGCUCGUAUUUGCUCUCAAAUUGCAUUCAACUGUAAUAGCUGUUCAAUUCUCAUCAACCAAAGCUGCACAAAUAUUUAAACUACAAUGAGCAGGGUAUCCAUUCAAUACUAUCACUUAUAAGCUAAAUCAGAAGCAACAAUUCACAACAAGGUAAGUAAGAUAACUCCCUUCAGUUUUCGAACUGAAAAUUUGUUGCCCGCAGCUAAAUGAUAUCCUUCAAUUCAAAACUUCAAUUUGGAAAUUUCCAUGUGAAAAUUGUUCACUCUGUUACCUGCUCAACUAAGUCCCAGCAAACCAAACUGAUUAAAGAACUACCCCAAUCUAACCAAAGUUAGAUUAAUCCAAUGCAACUCAUUAGAAUAGUAUUUGCAAUUUCUAACUCAGCAUUCCACAUGUCUAAUUAAACCAUGAAGUCACAAUUCACUUUCAAAACAGUGAGUAGAUCAAUGAUUCAGCAGGCAAUGUUUGAACUAAAAUGAGUGCAAUGACAGUUUAAACAUUCACAAGCACAAAUAGCAUCACCAGGAAAUCAGUAAGCACAUUGAAGCAUUCAAUAUCUCACUGAAUUCAGCAAACAAUUUAUGAACUAAAUUGAUUUCAAAAGCUUCUUAAACAGUCACAGCUGCUCGAGUUUGAUUACUCCAAUUUUCCUUUCCUGCACCAUGAACAAUCCAAAACAGUGAGCAAUAGUUAAGUAAAGAUCAACUCUCUCUCACAAAUUGCAAGCAAAUUAGGCCAAGUCAGCCUUACAAAUCUCACAACACUCAAGGCUUCUCUUUAAAACUUUUAAAGCUCACAAUGAAAGGUUUGGAAAGGGAGAUUCUCCCUUGUCCGUACAAGGCUGGAUAGUCUUUCAGACCACCACCACCUAAGAGGAUACCAAGCACACAACCUUUCUCAAAUUUUCAAGAAAUCCAGAGUGAUACAGCUUCUCAAGAAUAAAUGGCUAAAGCAAUGGCAAAACAGGACAGGACAAGAGAGCAAACAGACUCACAAGAAACUCUAGAUCAGAUUUUAAAAGCAAGUAAAGCUCAAGAUUAAGAACAGUAGAAUAGAUUGCACUUGUAAUGGACAAAACCAAGAUAGCCAAUAAUUGACAAGCAAGAAACAAAAUCUUUCAAGAAGAGCUGGCACACAAACAGAGCCUAGGAAUAGAUCUAGAUUAGAUGAACAAAGCAAAUAAAAGAACACAAGUUAAAAUUGGACUCAAAUUAGCUAUGCAAUGUAAAAUUUACAAACUGUUUGUAAAAAAUGCCUCGAAGAACGUUCAAUUUUUGGUGCAAAAUAUGGACUUCGAAAUUGCAGAUUUCAACAAAUUGGGUGCACUGGUCCAGUUAGCUUCUUAAUGUCAUUUUCAACUCUUUUAGAAUGUUUUCAAUUAUUUUCUAUGGACCUAAGCUUUUUCUACACCCUGCAAAUAAUAUCAAGACACCAAGUUCAGUUUGUAAACAAAUGAAUUAUGCUGCAGCAACUAAAUUUUUGAGCCAGAAAAAGUGCCUAAAAAUUGAUGAGUUGAAUAUGGAAAAUGUACAAAACACUGUAUAGUCGAAUUAGCCUUGCACAAAUAUGUUUAAUUGAUGAUUACAAACUUGUUUGACUGGUUUUUCUUGGCAGAUUCAACUUACAACAUAAUUUGGCAUAUCCAGUUCAUGUACACAUCAACAUAAGCAACUAUAAUGUCCAAAAUUUAAGGCAAACUUUUAAACAACUUAGAAACAAUGAAAAUGACUCCAAAAAAACAGCACUGAAAAGAUGCUCAAAGUAGCAGAAAACGUAUUUGAUGGUUUGCAAAGAUCUAGAUGUUCAAACCAGAUUUAAAACACUAAAGAACAAGACUCAACAAUAACGGUGCAGAUCAGUCAACUGCAGAAUAUGCUAAACUGUUUUCACAAUGUGCAAUUGAUCUAGGCUAUGCCUUUCAUUGAUCUUUGCAGUAUGCACUUGCUUUUGGACAGCAGCUCGAAUUUAUAACCAAACUUCAAUCAAACAAAAUUAAAAUUGAUUAUAGUGUUGCAAAGAUCAAAACAGAGUCACGAAACAGGAGAUUCAUUAUCACUACCACUGAAAUCUGCCACCAAUCUCAUUUAUCCAGAUGUCAUAGCAUAUAAAUGGUGUACAGAACUUACUCAGUGCAGGAAACUCAAAUGAAUCACAAAAAUACGAGCAAAAACUAGUUAAAUUCAGUUUUGAGUGACAAUUUAAGCAAAGCACUGAUUAAAUCAAUGGACAACAAGACUCAUAACAAAACCGGAAUGCAGAUUAUCAGAAACAAAGUCUCAAACAAAAGAAUUUGACUGAAUAAAAAUUAAAAUAACAUUGACUCAAGGCACAUAACAAAUCUGAAAACUCAAGACAAUGCAGGAAAAUAAUGAACAACUCAAUAAACGCAAUAGAAAUGCAAAUCAAAUGAACAACUCAUGGAUCAAACCAAGACAAAACAGAGACGUGAACAAGAAAACACGAAACAGUGAAAACAAAAUCAGAGAUAGAGACAAAGAUACUUAGCUUUGUCGCGUGGACGCAACCUUGCUCUAACUACCACUUGAUGGACGAAGCCUCGAGGAGAGGAGCUGUGCGACACGAAUAGAAGUCCUUGAGGCUUCUUCCAGAGAGAUGAAGCAGCGGAAAAUGGAAUCGGAAGAGAACAAAUGCAACGAUUCGAAAUCCUAAUCGAGAAGAGAAGACACAAGUUCGAGUGCGAACUCGUCAAAAUCGGGAUCUGACUCAAGGAAACCCUAAGUUCAAUCGGUUGAAAACCUAAAGGAGGGAGGGGAAUGCGAUUCGGACCGAUUAAUCGGUGUGAAUCAGAGAUUAAACGGUGUAAAGUGAGACUCGAGAGUUGGAGAGGUGUUUAAUCGGUCCAAAGGCCAAACAAUCGGUGAAGAUGGUGGAAAAUGGAGAGGAAUGUUGGAUUUGUGAAGAGAAAUAGAUUUUACCGGUGAAAAGAGACAACGAUGGCAAUCUGAGUCGAGAGAGAAAUGCUCUCGAAGACGCUGAGAGUGAAACCCUAGCAGGGAAUGUUUCGUGGUAUGUGGAAAAUGAGAGUGGAAUGUAUGAGUCUACGAAAUGAAAAUGUGCUGAGGAGAGUGUGAAGCGCUGACGCAGGCAGAGGCUAUCUGGCAGCGAAGGAUUAGAUCUCCGUGGAGGAGAGAGAAGCACGGUGGAGUAAUUGAAAAAUGAAAAUAGGAAGUGUGCUUUGGAAGGAGGCUAAAGGUCUUUGGACUCUCUAGCAAAUGACUUUCAAGAGAGAAUUAAUUCUGGAUUUCAGAAAUCUAAUUCUCAUUCAUCUCAAAAGUGAAUAGUACAAAUGAGGAGCUGGGUAUUUAUAGUAACCCAUGCUCCUUACAAGCUACACUACAGAUACAAUAAAAUGUAAAAAG